rnacentral:rRNA from 1 species
AGGGUUUGAUCCUGGCUCAGAACGAACGCUGGCGGCAUGGCUAAAACAUGCAAGUCGCGCGCGAAAGUUCCCUUCGGGGAGCGAGUAGAGCGGCGGAAGGGUGAGUAAUGCAUGGGUAACGUACCUUCAACACGGGGAUAGCUCGCCGAAAGGCGGGGUAAUACCCGAUAAGAUCGUAAUGUCAUAUGGCAUAGCGAUCAAAGGUGGGGAUCUUCGGACCUGCCGGUUGGAGAGCGGCCCAUGUCCUAUCAGUUUGUUGGUGAGGUAACGGCUCACCAAGGCUACGACGGGUACCGGGUCUGAGAGGACGGUCCGGCACAUUGGGACUGAGACACUGCCCAGACUCCUACGGGAGGCUGCAGUAACGAAUAUUGGGCAAUGGGCGCAAGCCUGACCCAGCAAUGCCGCGUGCAGGAAGAAGCUCUUCGGGGUGUAAACUGCUGUCAGGGUUUAGCAAGCAAUGGGAGUUAAUAGCUCUCUGCGUUGAGCAGACCCAGAGGAAGCCACGGCUAACUUCGUGCCAGCAGCCGCGGUAAUACGAAGGUGGCAAGCGUUGUUCGGAAUCACUGGGCUUAAAGAGCACGUAGGCGGCUGUGUAAGCGCUUUGUGAAAUCCCUCGGCUCAACCGAGGAAUUGCUUGGCGAACUGCACAGCUUGAGGCAAGUAGGGGUGCAUGGAACUCUUGGUGGAGCGGUGGAAUGCGUAGAUAUCAAGAGGAGCGCCGGAGGCGAAAGCGAUGCACUGGGCUUGUCCUGACGCUGAGGUGCGAAAGCUAGGGUAGCGAACGGGAUUAGAUACCCCGGUAGUCCUAGCCGUAAACGAUGCCUACUAGGUCGAAGCCUUUCUGACAAGGUUUCGGUCGAAACUAAAGCGUUAAGUAGGCCGCCUGGGGAGUACGGUCGCAAGGCUAAAACUCAAAGGAAUUGACGGGGGCUCACACAAGCGGUGGAGCAUGUUGCUUAAUUCGAUUCAACGCGAAGAACCUUAUCCUGGGCUUGACAUGCUUGGAUGCCUCCCUGGAAACAGGAUCAGGCUGCCCUUCGGGGUGAAACUUGCACAGGUGCUGCAUGGCUGUCGUCAGCUCGUGUCGUGAGAUGUUGGGUUAAGUCCCGUAACGAGCGAAACCCUUGUCGCUAGUUGCCAGCGAGUCAUGUCGGGGACUCUAGCGAGACUGCCGGUGUUAAACCGGAGGAAGGCGGGGAUGACGUCAAGUCCUCAUGGCCUUUAUGCCCAGGGCUGCAAACGUGCUACAAUGGCCGGUACAAACCGAAGCGAGACCGUGAGGUGGAGCAAAUCGGAGAAAGCCGGCCCCAGUUCGGAUUGAAGUCUGCAACUCGACUUCAUGAAGUUGGAAUCGCUAGUAAUCGCGGAUCAGCUACGCCGCGGUGAAUGUGUUCCUGAGCCUUGUACACACCGCCCGUCAAGUCAUGGAAGUCGGGAGCACCCGAAGUCGGCCCGUUUCAGGGUUGCCGAAGGUGAGUUCGAUGACUGGGACUAAGUCGUAACAAGGUA